UUUUUUGCGUAUAUACCACGCACGAUGCGCAACUUGCGGUACUGCCAUUACUGCUUUGAUGCCCCGCGUCAUAAUCAAGAUGGCUGAUCUUUGAGUCGACGCAUGUCGGUACUGCUCCGUUUCUUCUUUUUGGAAAGUCGUAAGAGGUGGCCAGGCCACUGGUGGCACGUGUGACCCAGGUUGACCUCCCUUGGUUGAGGGGCCGAAGACACGCUGCGCCAUCCAGCGGCGCGCGCGCGAAGCUUCCCUCCUGUUGCGCGUGGACUCCGAGAUUGCGGCGGCGGUGUCGAGCCGGUGUCUGCUUAUGGAAUUAAUCAAUAAAUUAAUCUUGAAUUGCCCA